rnacentral:rRNA from 1 species
AACGAACGCUGGCGGCAUGCCUAACACAUGCAAGUCGAACGAGACCUUCGGGUCUAGUGGCGCACGGGUGCGUAACGCGUGGGAACCUGCCCUUAGGUUCGGAAUAACUCCCCGAAAGGGGUGCUAAUUCCGGAUAAUGUCUUCGGACCAAAGAUUUAUCGCCUUUGGAUGGGCCCGCGUUGGAUUAGCUAGUUGGUAGGGUAAAAGCCUACCAAGGCGACGAUCCAUAGCUGGUCUGAGAGGAUGAUCAGCCACACUGGGACUGAGACACGGCCCAGACUCCUACGGGAGGCAGCAGUGGGGAAUAUUGGACAAUGGGCGAAAGCCUGAUCCAGCAAUGCCGCGUGAGUGAUGAAGGCCUUAGGGUUGUAAAGCUCUUUUACACGGGAUGAUAAUGACAGUACCGGGAGAAUAAGCUCCGGCUAACUCCGUG